rnacentral:rRNA from 1 species
UGCCUUCAGGAACUCUGACACAGGUGCUGCAUGGAUGUCGUCAGCUUGUGUCGUGAGAUGUUGGGUUAAGUCCCGUAACGAGCGCAACCCUUGUCCUUAGUUACCAGCACGUAAUGGUGGGCACUCUAAGGAGACUGCCGGUGACAAACCGGAGGAAGGUGGGGAUGACGUCAAGUCAUCAUGGCCCUUACGGCCUGGGCUACACACGUGCUACAAUGGUCGGUACAGAGGGUUGCCAAGCCGCGAGGUGGAGCUAAUCUCACAAAACCGAUCGUAGUCCGGAUCGCAGUCUGCAACUCGACUGCGUGAAGUCGGAAUCGCUAGUAAUCGCGAAUCAGAAUGUCGCGGUGAAUACGUUCCCGGGCCUUGUACACACCGCCCGUCACACCAUGGGAGUGGGUUGCACCCAGAAGUAGCUAGUCUAACCUUUCUGGGAGGAAGA